rnacentral:tRNA from 1 species
GAUGAAGGCUCAGUUGGUAAGAGUGCUUGCCUUACAUAUAUAAGGCCCUGGGUUCAAUCCCCAGCAUCA